GCUAAACAGCUAGCUUAACCACCAAAAUUAAUAAAACAACAUAAAUAACACAAAAUUAACUUUAAACUAAUAAAUCAAACCAUUUUUCCACCUUAGUAUGGGAGACAGAAAAGGUCCCUUAAGCAAUAGAGAAAGUACCGCAAGGGAAAGAUGAAAGAGUAAUGAAAUAAUCCAUACAAGCAAAUAAAAGCAGAGACCGACCCUCGUACCUUUUGCAUCAUGAUUUAGCAAGCACCUUACAAGCAAAAAGAUUUUUAGUUUGAGACCCCGAAACCAAGUGAGCUACCCCGGGACAGCCUAUUAGGGCCAACCCGUCUCUGUGGCAAAAGAGUGGGAAGAGCCCCGGGUAGAGGUGACAGACCUACCGAACUUGGUGAUAGCUGGUUGCCCAAGAAAUGAAUAGAAGUUCAGCCUCGUGCCCCUUAAAUCAAAAAAGAUAAGUCUAACCAUAAGUACAUAAGAGAAACACGAGAGUUAGUUAAAGGGGGUACAGCCCCUUUAACCAAGGAUACAACCUUAACAGGAGGAUAAGGAUCAUAUUUUCUAAAACUAGUCGUCCCAGUGGGCCUAAAAGCAGCCACCCGAACAGAAAGCGUUAAAGCUCAAACGACACAAAGUUUAUUAUCCUGAUAAAAACCCCAAUUCCCCUAAAAAUAAUGGGCCAUUCCAUGCUAACAUGGAAGAGACCAUGCUAGAAUGAGUAACAAGAGGACACACCCUCUCCAAACACAAGUGUACACCAGACCGGACUAACCACUGGAAUUUAACGAGCCCACACAAAGAGGGCAGUGCAAGACCUAAAAAAAUCAAGAAAACCCCGCACCACCACAAUCGUUAACCCCACACUGGAGUGUUUAAAAGGAAAGACUAAAAGAAAGGGAAGGAACUCGGCAAACACAAGCCUCGCCUGUUUACCAAAAACAUCGCCUCCUGCAAACAGCCUUGUAUAGGAGGUCCAGCCUGCCCAGUGACUACAUGUUCAACGGCCGCGGUAUUUUGACCGUGCAAAGGUAGCGCAAUCACUUGUCUUUUAAAUGAAGACCUGUAUGAAUGGCCAAACGAGGGCUUAGCUGUCUCCCCUGUCAAGUCAGUGAAAUUGAUCUACCCGUGCAGAAGCGGGUAUAAAAAUACAAGACGAGAAGACCCUUUGGAGCUUAAGGUACAAAUCCACCUACGUCAAUCAACUUUAUAAACUAAGAGCAAACCUAAUAGAAUCAUGGAAUUUUACCUUCGGUUGGGGCGACCAUGGAGAAUAAAAAAUCCUCCAAGUGGACUGGGAAUACCCUAAAACCAAGAAAGACAUUUCUAAGCCACAGAAAAUCUGACCAAUUAUGAUCCGACCCUAAAAGUCGAUCAACGGACCAAGUUACCCUAGGGAUAACAGCGCAAUCCUCUUCAAGAGUCCCUAUCGACAAGAGGGUUUACGACCUCGAUGUUGGAUCAGGACAUCCUAAUGGUGCAGCCGCUAUUAAGGGUUCGUUUGUUCAACGAUUAAAGUCCUACGUGAUCUGAGUUCAGACCGGAGCAAUCCAGGUCAGUUUCUAUCUGUAAUGUUACUUUUCCUAGUACGAAAGGACCGGAAAAAGAAGGCCCAUGCUAAAAGCACGCCUCACCCUUAAUUAAUGAAAACAACUAAAUUAAAUAAAAGGGGACCCAAACCUUACGCCAAAAUAAGGCCAC
rnacentral:rRNA from 1 species